GGUUAUUGCUUCGAAUAAUAUCUGUAAUAAUAAUCCCAUAAUUAUCUGUAAAAAUGUGUGGGAGCUCGGCUAAUAUGUUUCUAUAGUAUUUAAGCGUCUACUAUUUAUGACAACAUAAACCGAAAUGGAAAUUAAGAUCAAAAUGUGUGAGUAUUGUGAUGGUGAUAUUGACCCAUGGGUCAAACACGAGAUGUCCCAUUUUGGUGUGCGCAUCAAAUUCAAUUUACAGAAGUGAUUUUAUAUACAUAGAAUAAUGCAUAUUAAAUGCAAGCACUUUAAUGUUUCAAAUAACUCAAAUGUGUGAAAUGUUCCAUCGUCAUAGUGCAUGAACAUAUAUGUAAAAAUGAAGCAACAUUCGUAUUACAAUUUCAAUUAUUUGUUUUUUUUAGGUCCUGCACUGGGAUAAAUGUUUGAUAGUCAUUUUUUUUUUUUUUUUUUUUUUGCUCAGAAAAAGAAAUGUUAUUAAUCCAGAGGACACAUUCUAAUGUAUGGAAACAUGUAAAGCUGUACUAAACAGCUCUUUGGUUCGAUGUUUGAAAACCCUUUUUCGUCUUUGACCCUUAUGCAACGGACUCGAAAAACAAUUCUUUGCAUUCAUUCAUUCACCAGGCUUUCAGUUUAACGAAAACAGAAGAAGCCACGCUUAGAUGAGUAAAUUAAUUAUUGAAGACAUCACGCACUAAAAAUAAGAGGUUCGCCACGUGCGCACCACAUGUGACCAAUUUCCUCACGCAUUAAAAUCGUUCUUUUCUAACGACAUCUAACUUACAGCAGCUCACGUAGACCUCGAGUCAAAGUAUUAAAAUAUAAUCCACAAACUCUCUUGACCUUAGUUUGUAAGGCUGGUACUUUACUCACUACAAAAAAAAAAAAAAAAAAAAAACUUGUCGGAUGGACGAGGCGUGUCUAAUGAAUAUUUAAUAAGUUUACCUUCUCGCCGUCCAAUGGUGAAGGCGUCGGCUCCUGAAUAUUAAGUGGAAUUCGAAACUUCUCGGGGCGGCGCUCACUAUUGACGUCAUCUCCCCCCGCCCUGCGUGUCAGUUCCACGCUACUGUCUUCUUGUGAAUGGGUCAAGAGACUAAACAAACAGAAAGCUACCCGGUCUCUCGGUUUUAAACGGUCAGCCCAUGUCCUUCCGUUCAUUCCGGACUGUCAGAUAACGGACCUGUCACGCGCCGACACACCAAGAACUCUCAAAUUUGGCCUCACGUUCACCCAAAGAUCUGGCCAGCUGAGGUUAAGCAAAGUGAGUCUCGUCUGGAUUUUCAGUGGAAGUUCUCAAAGGUGUUUUGUGAAGGUUUAAUGGCACUUUCUUUAAGCCUGGUGUAAACGAGUCGUGGAGUAGCCGUGUGUGUCAGUCACACUAGAAAAGCAUGAUUGUGAAGUUCAUUCAAAUGUAUUUUUGUUUAUGGGACUUUAAAUGACCCAUAUUGUUGGAAUUGUAACUUUUGAUUGUAGUAACUGGAAUUUUGUGGCUAACAUCAUGAAAAAUAUAUAUACCAUAUAUUAGACAAAAUCCAUCCAAAAGAAUGAAUACUUUCAAAACAAGAAGUGGCCUCUGAGUCUGGCGAAAGCUGCUUUUGUGUCUGAUUUUCUGUUAUUUUCACAAAACUUGUAUUAUUAAUUUAAGCGGGUGAGAAUAUUUAAAUCAUGUGGACAGAAAAAUACAAAAAAACUUCCCGCAAAAUGUUUUCAUGAUGUAUCACAAUGAAUAUUCAAUGGACGUGGCAAAAAUAUUGAAUUCAUAGUGCUGAAAAUGAUAAAUGCUUGUAUUAAUUAAGAUUGGGAUAUUGAUUAAUUUUGGCGGCUGUAUGCUUCCAGAUUUUUGUAUGCUUCCCUUUUGCAUUUCUCCUUGAGGACUCAUACAGGGUGGAUGUGAAACACUCGAUGUGAUACAAAUCAAAGAUUGUGUUGGUUUAUACUGUUGGAGGUAACAUUUUCUUUUGGUGGAAACAUGGCUGAAAUUUAAGAAUUGGUUUGGUGGUGGUUUGCUGGAAACCUGCUGUUGUGUAAAUCUCAAAGAUAGUCGU
ensembl:lncRNA